ensembl:lncRNA
UCCUUUAACUACGAACCCUCCGCGCUGGCUGCAUUGUCUAUAGUUAUGCCCCUGGCGCAUAUGCACAUUUUCUAACACAGCGCAGGUACACUCAAUUAAAGCCAACAGCAAAUUAACAAAAUACACCUCUUUCAACCACAAGUAAGAGAUACAUGACAGCGACUUCACGCAGAGGCUCUGGCUUAGGGGCCCCCUGAGCUCAUGGGCCCCUUAAUCCAUCCCUGAACAGUACCCAACUGCCUGAGGACACGCGCUGUACCUGGUCUGUAGCCCAGUUUUAUUGAUAUUGGGAAUUUUAUAUGUGUUUAGUUAUGAUGGCUGGCUUGGACUGGUCAGCAGGACUGGUGGAAAGAAUGAACCAAAUUAUCAAGAGCAAUCUCUUAAGUGCAUCCCAUAGCCAUGAAUAAUUGCGUUAAAAAACCCAUCACCUGUCACAACAUUGUUCACGUCCUCUUGCUGGCCAUGUUGUAGUGUUUAACAGGAGCGUGAAGGUGUGCCCUUACGGAUCCCGGGUGCAGCAUUCAGCCUGUGUUGCAGCUGUCACCAGCCAGUUAUCCACUGCUAUUGUAUCCUGCCACCCUACUAUGUUUGUAUAACUAAAACUGCCCAUGCACCAAGCAAGUCAGCACAACUAAACAUAACUAAAUCUAUAAAACUGGGCUACAGACAGCGUAUGUUGUAUCGUGAAGGAGUGCCUUUACAGAUCCCAGGUACAGCAUAUGGCACAUUUUGCAGCUGUCACCAGCCAGUUGGGCACUGUUGUGUGUCCUGCCACCCUUACUAUGCUUGUAUGACUAAAACUCACCAUGCACCAAGCCAGCCAACAUAACUAAUAACAACUAAACACAUACAAAAUCCCCCAAAUCAACAAAACUGGGCUACAGACAGUGUUAAUUGCCAUCCUAAAUGUAUCUCCUUAUCUGUUUAUCAAAUUGAUGUCUACUAACAAAAUGUUCCCUCUUAUAGCAUGAUCCAAAUGCUGAUGGAUGUGGAAACAAUGCUCCUCAUCACCAUUGGUCCUCAUCUACAUAUAUUGGCAGCCAAACUCUACCCACUCACUCUGUUUCUUUCUUCCCCUCCCAGUCUAGACUAUCUUCGCUGUGGGAUGCUGCUGUAGUUUCUACUUGUAGAAACCCUCUGCCCACAUGUACUCAUUACCACCGUACUGCGUACAUUUAUAUGCAAUAUAUAUAAUUGUCACCAUCGACAUGUUACUCUUUUCAUACUCUACUUACCCAUGUAACAGUAACCCUAUGAGCACACUGAAUACCCACUAAGCUGUUUUUGUAUGCAUCAUUUAUAUACCAUAUGAUGUUUGUAUAUAUAAUAUGUACAUCUACCAUAUGUAUGCUGUGUACAUUUACCACUUGUUGUUUCCCCUAACCUUCUGCCAAAGGACCCCUCCAUCUCUUCCCGGCCGACCUCAAGCAGAUGGGUCCCCCCUUAUAUGCCGCGGUUCUGCUUAAGGUUUCCUCCUGAUUAACAGGGAGUUUUUUUCUUGCCCCUUGUGCUUAGUCUAAGGGUGUCCAGGCACUGGGCUCUGUAAAGCUCCUUGAGACAAAUCUAUUGUUUUGGCACUAUAUAAAUAGAAUUGGAAUUAUUUUUUAAAUUGAAUUACUGGGCUACAGUCAGUAUACUGAUUCUUUCGCUAAGCCGCCUUCCUGAGUCUCUUACUUGAACCAACUUUGGCGUUUCAUCAAGGAUUCCCAAGAACAGCAACAUCUUUCAGUUGCCGUUUCCACCCAGUUUCCAUGAUAAAGUACAAAGAAGAAACUACCCGGAGAGACCAUUCAAACGGUGAGUGAAUCUUUUACUUUAAAGCUGGAAAAAAGAACAGACUUGCUGUGCAAGUUAAAGCCAGUUAGCAGGAGUAAGGUCUCUGUCAAGUGGCUAUGCGCAUAGACUUGGCAUGCCAGGGCAGUUAUUGAUCAGAGCACCUUUAGUUAUUGAUCACAGCGUUUUUGAUUUGCUGUCAGAGUAAACUGCAAUCAUUGCAUCGUUGGAUGGGUUGUAGCUAAAGGAGCUAUAUGUUCUUUGGGUGGUAAAGGUCAUUAUUGAUCAGAGCGUGGCGUUUUAAAUUGCUGUUAAAAUAAUUUAAACUCUCAGUUCAAGCUGACCACAUAAAAGUUGGAAAAGCUUUAUUAAUGAUGAUUGUAUGGGAAUUUAGUAAUGGUCUCUUGUUAUGGACGUGACUAUGAGAAAUGGGUUAAUGAUAGAAGUUGUUUAUUCUGGUCAUAUGGAUGAAAUGCCACAUUCUAUGGAUUUUGUGGUACUGCCGCAGUUUUUUUUUGUGUUUUCAGAGCCAACCCCCCAGGAGCAGCAUGACAGGAUCUGGAUGAAGAACCAAUGGUGCCUCUGCUGCAAUGACCAAGCCAUCACCGCGGUCCAUGAUCCACCUCACCUGUUGGACAGCAGUGACAACACUACAUAAACUGGACCUUCAUGUUUCCACCACACAACAUUCAAGGACUUGACUGAACUACCUGAACAUCGGAUGAUCAGAGAUGCUAAGUUGCCACUCACAGCUCACGGAAGGUGAGUGUCGCUGUACAAAAGCAGGACAGUAAAAGAAUUUUCCCCAAAAUUAGAGGAUAUUAAAGGGUUUUUCGCUUUUACCUGUGAGCUCAGGAACUUUGCCAUCUUGGUUGCAAGAAACAACCGAUUAAUACGUGUGUUUGCACCAAAUGUAAACAAAAGGUUUAAACAAUGUUGGAUUGUUUGAUCAUGAUUAUGUCCGAUUUUGUUUUAUUAUGGUUUUAUGAGGUUUUAUUAUGAUCAUUAUGCAGUUUCAUUUAUGAUGGGAUUGUUAGAUUUUGGUGGAUUUCAAAUACCAGAACAUAGUAAUAGAUCCAUACGUAGUCUCAGGCGGAUUUGGAGCCAGAGCCAUUAGACUUGAAGGUUGGAGCCAGGCAUUUAGCAUUUAGAUGGCCAUGGUUAAGCUAAACCCCCUCUGCCUAGCAUUUUCACCUUUAUCUAGCAUAAACUAGAUAGACUUCAUCCUGACACCUUAGCAGAAAAUAUGGAAAAAAUGUUACAGAAACAAAAUGCUCUCAGAUCUCUCUGUCCUCCAAGCCCAGCCCACUGUGACAGAAAGCCCAGAAACAAAGGGGGGUGGAAAGCAAUAGGCUCCACUCGUCUCAACCCUGGUGAAGAAAACAACACUGUCCAGAGGGGUAGAGGAGCCGAGGGGUAAAGGAGCUGAGGGGAGCUGAGGGGUAGAGGAGCUGAGGGGUAGAGGAGCAGGGGGGUAGAGGAGCAGAGGGGAGCAGAGGGGUAAAGGAGCCAGGUGGAGGCUGAGGGGUAGAGGAGCUGAGGGGUAGAGGAGCUGAGGGGUAGAGGAGCUGAGGGGUAGAGGAGCAGGGGGGUAGAGGAGGCUGAGGGGUAGAGGAGCAGGGGGGAGGCCGUGGGGUUAGGCGAUCCUAUCUCUGUAAAUCAUUGCAGGUUACAAGAAACUGCACCUGUGAGAUUGGUUUGGUGCACUUUCUGGAAUGUUUUAUUUGUGGAAAGGUUUCUUUGUGGAAAAGCGUCUUAAUGUCUUGUGUAGGAAUGAUGUUACUUUAUCUGUGUUUAUUGGCAACCUGUACAUGUUGUGUGAUACCCCGCAUCCAAAAAAUGUUAUGACUAAUGUGAUAGUUAACAUGGUUGACACUCAACAACUCACCAACACAAAGUGUUUAGUGUCAGUGAAUGCUGACUUCUUUCUAUAUCAAUCUUGUGUGAUGUGUUUAAUUAUGCUUCUCUCUCUUCUGCUGCAGUCUGAGCGCUCGCUCUCUCUGGCCUGCCAGGACGUGAGUGAGCCCGACAAGCUUGUUGUUGUUGUUGAAUAAAUAUACUUAUAUGCAACUCUGGAGUCCUGAGGUAACUUGAGUGCAUUUUCACCUAACAUCUGUUAUUACGUUAGUAUCCCCUCUGCUGGUUAAAGAACUCUGGUAGCCAUGUGCCUCUUGGGUUUGUUUUGUCAUGCCACGUUUUCUGUUUUUGUCCUUAAACUCCGACCCUACCUGCCCUCUGCCACUAUCUGGAUUUUCCUGUCACCAUCUACCACACCUGUUCUGUUAAUUAGUCUGUUUGUUAUCCUCACGAGUUUCUCGUGCCUCUUGUUUGCUUCCCACCAAUUAUCUCUUUCCCCUCUGGUAUUUAAGUUCAGUCUGUCCUGUGUCCCCUGUCUGAUUGUAACAUUGAAUUUGGUUGGUAACUCUGAGUCCUGUCCAAGUCUGUGAGUGUUUCUCUGCUUCACUUCCGUGGAUACCCUGUCCGUGUGGAAAAGUUUUGGAUUUUUGUGUUUCCCUUUACUCUGCCUUUGUUGGAUAUUUGGAUUUUUUUGUGUUUUGCCCUUUUUUUUAUACUUUGUUACCUGGAUCUUUUGUGUGUUGGAUUUGUGGACCUUUUAAGUUUUACUUUUUGCAAAAUAAAUUCUAAGUUCUUGCUGGC